GAGGGUAUAGCUCAGUGGUAGAGUGUGUGCUUAGCAUGCAUGAGGUCCUGGGUUCAAUCCGUAGUACCUCCA
rfam:Camelus ferus unplaced genomic scaffold scaffold1596, whole genome shotgun sequence.